UCAGAUACAUACGUCCUUUUACUGAUUUCAAUAGUUUUGAGUCUCAAAUUUAAAAAAAAUUAUUUUUUUGCAAAUAAAUCCAUGAUAGAUAUUAUUUUAUAAACAACAAUGGGAAGUGAUAAUCAUGAAACCAAGGAAAAUUUUAUCUAGGCACAUAAAACUCCAAAGUCACGCAUCAAUUAGAAAUAAGAUAAAGCCAAAAUUAGACCUUUCAAUGUAGCAAAGCUCUUUCAGAUUUGAAUAAUGGCAAAAACCCCAAAGCAAAGGUACAACAAAUGUUCUGUUUCACUUAAAAGUACAACAGUGAGCUCCGAUCGCAAAUCAUCUAAAGUUGAACCGUGAGUGGAAUUCGAACAAAAACUCAUCGACAAACUCGAGCUCGACUAUGCUUCAACAGUGAUGAAGACGAACUAUUUUCGUAGCUGAAAAUUGAUGGAAAAUUGGUUGGGUUUAAGGAGGGGAGAAGUGCUGUUUUUUUGGAGGUCUUUAAGGGUGUUUUUAGAGCUCUAGUCACUGGUUUUCAUGGAUUUCUGUCGGAUAUCAUGGUAUUUCCGCCGAGUUUUUGUCUUCCCCAUUUACUAUCAUUGAGAGUAUGAUAGCGCGAGAGAAGAUAAUAGCGAAGGUGAGGCUAGCGGGUGUUUUGGCGAGGCGGAAAAGGAAACGUCAUCCGUCACUUCGCCAUAGACAACGGCGACGCAACAACGAUCCUAAGACAAGAUAUAGAGAGAGACCUGAGGGUGAUUUGGUGAAGGCAGUCGAUUCUUCCUAUGGUCUGUCGCUCGCUUCUCUUAAAUUGAGAAUAAGAAGAAGACUCUUUUGAAGCUGAGUGUCAUAGGUGUUUAGGGGCUAGUUUAUCGCUGAUUUUUGGUGAUAAAUAUGCUAUGUUUUCAUGGUAAGAAUGAGAAGGGAAGAAGAUCAGUUUCUGUGCUUUUUGGGUGGUAGUUUAGUUGAGCAUUUGGAGCUUUUUGGAUGGUUAGAAUGAAGGUUUCUGGAGGAAGAAAGAAGAGGAAAUAGUUUCUCGUUUUUCUAUUUUUUUCCAAAUCUCCCUUUUCUGUUCUUUCAUGCUCCCCUCUUGGAAAGAAGCCUUGUGGUCCCCACUAUUAGAAUUGGGAUAAAGAAGAAUAAAAUUUUUUAUAGGUAAGAAUCAUUGGAAUAGAAAGUCACGUGAACGUGGGAAAAAGAUGGCAAGAUGGGACCACCUCCAAUUUCCUUUCUUGCUUUUGUUUUGUUUCGUUUUUUUUUUGUUUUUGCUAUUCUUUUUCAUUCUUUUUAAGACUAUCCAAAAUUACUAUCUAAAUAAUGUAAAAUAUUAAAAAGAGAAUAAGAUAUUU
rnacentral:lncRNA from 1 species